AGCCUGCGGCUCAGGAGGAGCACAUGUAAAUAGAGGAUGGGUGUAAAACAGUAAAACACGUCUGCUCCACCUUUAAGGGCGUAUGCCAAGCAAGGAGAAAAUUAUGAGGUUUGAGGUGAACACAGCCUUCCACUGUGGCCGGAUCAGGGGUUCUGCCCUGGAGAGACACCAUGGCUUCAACGUAGAGACGCACCACCUCACGGCAAAAGGAAAUGUGUGUUUCUGCAAUGAACUAAGUUUAGCCUCAGCCUGCAACACCACAGAUUAGGACCAGCAUGCCUCAAGCAAGUGGAGACACUAACGCACACACAGAGGGGUCAGCUGGGAUCCAAGACCACAGCCAUCAACAAAAAUGUUCUUUCACCUGUUUGAAUUGACUUUCAUACAAAUACUGCUACAAGGAAGAAAGUAAUGUAGAACAUAUUGUUAGAUGUUCACGGAAAGUUGGAAAAAUUGUAUCUAUUAUAAAUCAUAUCGUCCUCCUCUGAAGAACUCCCUUUCUGCUUUAUUUCUGGUCAGAAGAUUAAAAGGGAAACA